rnacentral:rRNA from 1 species
AACGAACGCUGGCGGCAGGCCUAACACAUGCAAGUCGAACGCCGUAGCAAUACGGAGUGGCAGACGGGUGAGUAACGCGUGGGAACAUACCCUCCGGUUCGGAAUAACUCAGGGAAACUUGAGCUAAUACCGGAUAUGACUCCAUGACGCAUGUUGUGGGGUGGAAAGCCUUGUGCGGCUGAGGAUGGGCCCGCGGCCUAUCAGCUUGUUGGUGGGGUGAUGGCCUACCAAGGCGACGACGGGUAGCCGGCCUGAGAGGGCGACCGGCCACACUGGGACUGAGACACGGCCCAGACUCCUACGGGAGGCAGCAGUGGGGAAUCUUGCGCAAUGGGCGAAAGCCUGACGCAGCGACGCCGCGUGAGGGAUGACGGCCU